AACACACCUUGCGCCCUCUGGUAUUCCGGAGGGCAUGCCUGUUUGAGUGUCAUUAAAUUCUCAACUUCAAUAGCUUUUACUAGCUUAUUGAUGCUUGGAUGUGGGAGCUUGCUGGCGUCUUAGAUGUUCGGCUCUCCUUAAAGUUAUUAGUGGAAACCUUUUUGUUAGGUUAUUCCUGGUGUGAUAAUUAUCUACGCUUUGAGUAAUCUAAUGUUCCAUUGGGACUUGAGAUUUCUCAGUAGAAAUACUGGUCUGGGUAUUGCAAUUAAUUUUGCUGUAUCUGUAAUCUCUCAGUAGCAAUACUGGUUUUGGCAUUGCAAUUAAGUUUGCUUUACCUGUAGUCUCAGAGGGAAAAGGGAAGUUCUGCUUUCUAACUGUCUAUGUAUAUGGACAAUUUAUUGACUAUUCGACCUCAAAUCAGGUAGGACUACCCGCUGAACUUAA
rnacentral:rRNA from 1 species